rnacentral:rRNA from 1 species
AACGCGAAGAACCUUACCCAGGCUCGAAAUAUAGGGGACAGCUCCUGAAAGGGAGUCUCUCGUAAGAGUCGCUAUAUAGGUGCUGCAUGGCUGUCGUCAGCUCGUGCCGUGAGGUGUUGGGUUAAGUCCCGCAACGAGCGCAACCCUUAUCACUAGUUGCCAGCAAUUCGGUUGGGAACUCUAGUGAGACUGCCUAGGUUAACUAGGAGGAAGGUGAGGAUGACGUCAAGUCCGCAUGGCCUUUAUGUCUGGGGCUACACACGUGCUACAAUGGCCGGUACAGAAGGCAGCAAGACCGCAAGGUGGAGCAAAUCCGUAAAGCCGGUCUCAGUUCGGAUUGUAGUCUGCAACUCGACUACAUGAAGUUGGAAUUGCUAGUAAUGACGUGUCAGCAACAACGUCGUGAAUACGUUCCCGGGCCUUGUACACACCGCUCGUC